rnacentral:rRNA from 1 species
GUGAGGAAUAUUGGUCAAUGGGCGAGAGCCUGAACCAGCCAAGUAGCGUGAAGGAUGAAGGCUCUAUGGGUCGUAAACUUCUUUUAUAUGGGAAUAAAGUUUUCCACGUGUGGAAUUUUGUAUGUACCAUAUGAAUAAGGAUCGGCUAACUCCGUGCCAGCAGCCGCGGUAAUACGGAGGAUCCGAGCGUUAUCCGGAUUUAUUGGGUUUAAAGGGAGCGUAGGUGGAUUGUUAAGUCAGUUGUGAAAGUUUGCGGCUCAACCGUAAAAUUGCAGUUGAAACUGGCAGUCUUGAGUACAGUAGAGGUGGGCGGAAUUCGUGGUGUAGCGGUGAAAUGCUUAGAUAUCACGAAGAACUCCGAUUGCGAAGGCAGCUCACUAGACUGUCACUGACACUGAUGCUCGAAAGUGUGGGUAUCAAACAGGAUUAGAAACCCGGGUAGUCC